UACGUAGGGGGCAAGCGUUGUCCGGAUUUAUUGGGCGUAAAGAGCGUGUAGGCGGCCGUACAGGUCAGCUGUGAAAACUCGAGGCUCAACCUCGAGACGUCGGUUGAAACCGUACGGCUAGAGUCCGGAAGAGGAGAGUGGAAUUCCCGGUGUAGCGGUGAAAUGCGCAGAUAUCGGGAAGAACACCCGUGGCGAAGGCGGCUCACUGGACCACAACUGACGCUGAGACACGAAAGCUAGGGGAGCAAACAGG
rnacentral:rRNA from 1 species